GCACGAAACAGUCCAAAGAAAGGGUCAGGUCACGGAGGCAGCAAUCUAAGCAGGGACUCCCAGACUUCCCCCACCCCAGACACUUCGUCCAGCUCUUUUGUUGGGACCCCAAGAUGUUCCUUCCUCCCGCAGUGUCUCCAGCGUCUCCGUACGUGGCCCCUCCCACCAGAGCAGCACAAAUGAAGACUUGUCUCUUUCCAAACGCUCUUAAAGGACGAUCGUUUUGACUGUUGACCGUGACACCCU